rnacentral:rRNA from 1 species
UACGGAGGAUGCAAGCGUUAUCCGGAUUCAUUGGGUUUAAAGGGUGCGUAGGCUGGCCAAUAAGUCAGAGGUGAAAAGCAUAGGCUUAACUUAUGCACUGCCUUUGAUACUGUUGGUCUUGAGUGCAAAUGAGGUUGGCGGAAUGUGUAGUGUAGCGGUGAAAUGCUUAGAUAUUACACAGAACACCGAUAGCGAAGGCAGCUAACCAAGAUGCAACAGACGCUGAGGCACGAAAGCGUGGGGAUCAAACAGG